rnacentral:lncRNA from 1 species
CAGGCGAGAGAUUAAAACCUCACAAGCCAAGGCCUGAGCGCAGGAACUCUCACCCCAGCCCUCCCCAGCAGCGACAAUAACAACUCAAGCCAACCAUUUCGAACCUGCCUUAGGGGUCUGCCCAGCUCUCCCCAGGUGCCUCAGUUACAAUUGGGUUUGUUGUCAGAAGAGUGAGUUUCCUAUAAAAGCAAAUUUGGCCCCCUCUUGGUCGUGCUCACACUUCUUGCCUUUCCACCUUCUGCCAUGGAAUGACACAGGAAAAAGGCCUUCAUCAGAUGCCAGCCCCAUAACCUUGGAUUUCCAGCCUCCAGAACUGUAUG